GAUUCCAGUAAUAGAGUUUUAGGAUCUCUUGGCUUGCAGUAUUGGCUUCUGAUCCCAAGGACGUGUUAAGAGAGAGCUAGGCCAGAGAGCCGCAAGUGCCUUUGUAAAGUUGGAGGCAGCGGAAGCAGAGAUGUCAAUAUGUGCCUGCGAGAGGAACAGAAGAGGCAAAGGCAGAGGGGAUGAUAUCUGCCUGGAAGAAGAUUGCUGCAGCCUGGUAUGGGGGAAGAGGUCC